rnacentral:rRNA from 1 species
AUACGGAGGAUCCGAGCGUUAUCCGGAUUUAUUGGGUUUAAAGGGAGCGUAGGUGGAUUGUUAAGUCAGUUGUGAAAGUUUGCGGCUCAACCGUAAAAUUGCAGUUGAAACUGGCAGUCUUGAGUACAGUAGAGGUGGGUGGAAUUCGUGGUGUAGCGGUGAAAUGCUUAGAUAUCACGAAGAACUCCGAUUGCGAAGGCAGCUCACUAGACUGUUACUGACACUGAUGCUCGAAAGUGUGGGUAUCAAACAGGAUUAGAUGCCCUGGUAGUCCACACAGUAACGAUGAAUACUCGCUGUUUGCGAUAUACAGUAAGCGGCCAAGCGAAAGCAUUAAGUAUUCCACCUGGGGAGUACGCCGGCAACGGUGAAACUCAAAGGAAUUGACGG